AAAUCCUGAAUGAAUCUCACUGCCUGGUUAAAGGAGAGCAGCUGGUCUGUGUGUGCAUCAGCUGGGGGAAUCCUCUGUCUCCAGUUGUUUGGCCUUUAAAGUCCCUCACAGACUUCUCCAUCUCCAGCUCCAGCAACGAUCAGAAAAGGAAACAGGACGAACCUACGUUUCUGAUGAGAAGAAAUGGUUUGAAACAGCUCUUCCUUGGAUAGCAGCAGUGUGUUUUAGUCUGAACCUGGUUUUCAUCGCUGUCCUGAUCAUCUGCAUUCAUCAAAAAAGUAAAGUGAAGAAGAAACCGUGUGAAGAGAACGACACAUACGCAUCUCUGAGAAAGGCAGAAGUUGAGGAUGAGUAUAGCAUCAUACCUUCAUAACUCAAAUAAAAUAAUGAAGACGGUCGUUCCGUGUGUCAUAGCCCAGUAUUUAUGCAAAUGCAAACAAAGUGUGUGUGUUUAAUUUUAUUGUAUGUGAUCGGAAUCUAUGGUCCAGCAAGUCAUCUAUUAUGAAAAACAUUCAAAAUAUAAUUUGUAUCUAAAACCUGAA